rnacentral:rRNA from 1 species
GGAGUUUUUUUGGGUUUUUUUAAAAAAAAUUUGGGGGGACCUUUAUAUAAGGUUUUCCCCCCUGCUCAGGAUGAACGCUGGCGGCGUGCUUAACACAUGCAAGUUCGAACGAUGACUUUUGUGCUUGCACAGAAUGAUUAGUGGCGAACGGGUGAGUAACACGUGAGUAACCUGCCCCUGACUCUGGGAUAAGCCUGGGAAACUGGGUCUAAUACCGGAUAUGCACCGUGGACCGCAUGGUUCUUGGUGGAAAGAAUUUUGGUCAGGGAUGGACUCGCGGCCUAUCAGCUUGUUGGUGAGGUAAUGGCUCACCAAGGCGACGACGGGUAGCCGGCCUGAGAGGGUGACCGGCCACACUGGGACUGAGACACGGCCCAGACUCCUACGGGAGGCAGCAGUGGGGAAUAUUGCACAAUGGGCGAAAGCCUGAUGCAGCGACGCCGCGUGAGGGAUGACGGCCUUCGGGUUGUAAACCUCUUUCAGUAGGGAAGAAGCGAAAGUGACGGUACCUGCAGAAGAAGCGCCGGCUAACUACGUGCCAGCAGCCGCGGUAAUACGUAGGGCGCAAGCGUUAUCCGGAAUUAUUGGGCGUAAAGAGCUCGUAGGCGGUUUGUCGCGUCUAUCGUGAAAGUCCGAGGCUCAACCUCGGAUCUGCGGUGGGUACGGGCAGACUAGAGUGAUGUAGGGGAGACUGGAAUUCCUGGUGUAGCGGUGAAAUGCGCAGAUAUCAGGAGGAACACCGAUGGCGAAGGCAGGUCUCUGGGCAUUAACUGACGCUGAGGAGCGAAAGCAUGGGGAGCGAACAGGAUUAGAUACCCUGGUAGUCCAUGCCGUAAACGUUGGGCACUAGGUGUGGGGGACAUUCCACGUUUUCCGCGCCGUAGCUAACGCAUUAAGUGCCCCGUCCUGUGAUACCCCAAACCUC